AUUGCAGCAACUUUUAUAAUUGAUCGAUUUUUUUUUCACUUAAUCUAUUUAAAAAUCAGAACCAUUGCCAAGUUUUCUAAAGCUUUUUGAAAUGGAUACUGGCUUGGUCACCCAGUACCUCCCAGGUCCCCACACACUACAAACACGGCCGAAAGCAUCUCAACCAUCUCCUCUGUGGCUCUGCCCAGCUCAGCAUCAGGCAGGCCGGCAAUUUCACCUGGGCAGAGGGCUCCAUUUCCUUUACUGAAAGGUAAUACUCCUUGGGAAUCACUUUAUCUUGAUUGGGCUUCCAGAUCCUUCCCUUAAUGUUUGUUCUUCUCUUUCCUGCCUUUUUUGAGUACUGAUCUGAGGAGAAGUUAAGAGAGGCAUUUAAUAAUUUAUUCAGUUGACAACUGACACCUUGCUUAAAAAAAAAAAAAUACAUGACACCAAAUAUUAUGUACCUAAAGAACAAAGGUGCUUCAACUCACCGAGCCUAAAACAGCUGAUAUGAGUAAGAAGAUGGAAAGGGUGAACAUGUUUCUAGAGAGGCUGCUUUUAUUUGCAAGAAAUCCCCUCUACAGCUGGUGAGCCUGUCAAUACAACAAGAAGGGUGGAGGCCAUCUCUCUCAAGAUGAUUUGAGGAAUAAUGGUGAGCAACCAGGUAGUUGAUGCAGUGUGAGAAGGCCUGUCGUCCACGCCUCUACCUCCUCUGAGGGAUCUGCCCUGUUCAUCUGUCAGUUCAGCAGAAGCUCUGUCUGUGACGACCAGAAGCCUGGCGAAAUUAGAGGAGAAGGCAGCCAGCCUAAAGGUGAAAGACGAGGAGAUGAGUGACUUCCUCGGGUACUUCUGUGCAGAUAAAAGCUAAUUCUGAUAAAACCAAGACUGAAAUCCUUCCAGCCCACAGAAAGUCAAGGUCAGACAACAUGAACCAAUCAAGUUGAAAGCUGCCUGAUUUUUUUUUUUUUUUUCCCAGAAGUGAGUCAGAGACUGACAGAGGGACAGAGGUGGAUGGAGGAAGGAUGAGGGGGAAGAGGGAAGAAGGAAGGAGAAAAGCCUCCCAUCGAGAUGAACAGAUGGACUGACAGGGUGAACGAGAGGUGGAGAUGGACAGGGGAAAAAGGAGCUCCUUUCCCUGUUCCUUACGUAUUUCAGGAUCAAAAGGCAUAGGAAAAAAAAAAAAUCUUCAAGUUUUUCAUCAGGCCCUGGGGGUGACGGGACCAAGGUCCAGCUGUCAAUGGGUGUUUUUCCUGGGGUUUUGCAAGUCGGCCACGUGCCCUAACCUUGAGGAUGCUGUUUAUUCCUGGGGGAGAGAUAAGCCAGCAGCCCCGGCCCCACCCCCAUCGGAGCAGAGUGGGCAUUACCAGCGAACAAAGAAAGAGCGCUGUACAGCAACAAGCAUUUGGUUUUGAUUAGAGCAUAUUCAGAGACUGUGCAAGUUCUAUUAAAAUAAGCACAAAACCAUCUUAAAGGGCUUUUUCUUUUCUUUCUCUUCCCCCCCCUCGGUUUAUAUUGUUAAUCUUUCUUCCUGGACGGCUCCUCACAAAUGCCUUUUGUUUUCUUGUGUGAUUCUACGUGCCAGGACUCUAAGAAGGCAGGACGGAGGUCCUAUUCUGGCAUGCUUUCAAGUCUCUUCCAUAGGAGAUGAAGGCUCGUUGCUGUGCCUUCAAGGGUAUAAAUUUAGAGGCCGCCAAACCGUCCGGAGGUAAUUCAAAUGCUGGUAAAUGGUGGAAUCCACCCUGGCCCCCUGCUCCUAUGAAUACCCUGGCACUUACCCCACUCAGAGGAAACGAAACCAAUUUGGGAAAGCGAAGACAGAAUAAACAUGCAAUUAAAAUGGUCAUUCCUCCUGGUUUCUUCCUUUAGUUCUUUUUUUAACACUGCAUCCCAUUCUAUAAUCUGAUGAUGAAAUGGGCCUAGCUAAUUAUAACAACGUACAAAAGAUCGCUGUCUUUUUCCCCACAGUGACUAGGCUAGCUUUGAAUUUUUUUUUUUUUUUUUUUUUUGUAGUGGGGGGCGCAGGAGGUGGUGAGGAAGGGGAAGAGAGGUGGACGAACUUCAAGGGAAGCCGUCAUUUUGGAAGAGCCGCUGUUUUUUUAUAUUGUUUCAAGCCCUUUGCCAAGGUGAACAUUUCAGAAAUGGCACUUCCCUUUCAAUUUAUCUAUCUUCCUCCUUUAUCCAUAGAUAGACAAAUAAAAAUGAAUCUUUCCAGAGGCAGCACGCAUGCCACUUCUAUAUAUUCUUCAGAUAGCUUAUUUUUAUUCAGCUUAAAGCAUAACCUAUCAUUUUUAUUCAAGAUUCCAUCCAGCCUCUCUCUCUCUCUCUCUCCAAGCAAGCCUUCAAGAAGCCCUGCUGCCCUGCUUUGUUCCAGAGACUCUGCUAAAGGCCAAAAGACGGAGAUAGCACACCCAUCUGGUCUGUUUCACAUCUGAAGAGAAGGGCUUGAGAGAGCCCCCUCCAGUGGAAGGAACAGGGUGGUCGGGAAUAAGCAUCGCAGUCUUCUCUUUGUUUGUUUGUGAUUAGCUUCUCGCGCUCAUCUCAGGAAGACUCUUAAUACCCAUGGGGAAAUAACACCAUGGAACGAAGCUCACCCAGCAAACAGGAGGAUUCGUUGCCAGGGCUUUGAAAUACUUACACGUAAAGAUUCCAUUUCGGUGUCAAAAAAAACAUAAGCAUCUCAC